ACCCUGUCCGAUGGCAGCACCCCAGUCUCAGUCAUUAGGAUCGUAUCCAAGUCACAGGAAGCUGAACCUCUCAUCUCUCAUUUAGCCUGAUGGACACCCACUUGGCUACAGCCAGAAGACAGUUAUCCUAGCUUAGUACAGUGGACCGUGGUAACCUCGAUGUGUACACC